UAAGUCCCGCACGAGGCAACCCUAUCCUUUGUUGCCAGCGGUCCGCCGGGACUCAAAGAGCUGCCAGUAUAACCUGAGAAGGUGGGGAUGACGCAAGUCAUCAUGGCCCUUACGAGUAGGGCUACACACGUGUUCCAAUGGCAUAUCCAAAGAGAACCGACCUCGCGAGAGCAAGCGGACCUCAUAAAGUAUGUCGUAGUCCGGAUUGGAGUCUGCAACUCGACUCCAUGAAGUCGGAAUCGCUAGUAAUCGUAGAUCAGAAUGCUACGGUGAAUACGUUCCCGGGCCUUGUACACACCGCCCGUCACACCAUGGGAGUGGGUUGCAAAAGAAGUAGGUAGCUUAACCUUCGGGAGGGCGCUUACCACUUUGUGAUUCAUGACUGGGGUGAAGUCGUAACAAAGG
rnacentral:rRNA from 1 species